CCUACGGGUGGCAGCAGUGAGGAAUAUUGGUCAAUGGACGAGAGUCUGAACCAGCCAAGUAGCGUGAAGGAUGACUGCCCUAUGGGUUGUAAACUUCUUUUAUAUGGGAAUAAAAUGUUCCACGUGUGGGAUUUUGUAUGUACCAUAUGAAUAAGGAUCGGCUAACUCCGUGCCAGCAGCCGCGGUAAUACGGAGGAUCCGAGCGUUAUCCGGAUUUAUUGGGUUUAAAGGGAGCGUAGGUGGAUUGUUAAGUCAGUUGUGAAAGUUUGCGGCUCAACCGUAAAAUUGCAGUUGAAACUGGCAGUCUUGAGUACAGUAGAGGUGGGCGGAAUUCGUGGUGUAGCGGUGAAAUGCUUAGAUAGCACGAAGAACUCAGAUUGCGAAGGCAGUUCACUGGACUGCAACUGACACUGAGGCUCGAAAGUGUGGGUAUCAAACAGGAUUAGAUACCCUUGUAGUC
rnacentral:rRNA from 1 species